GACGAACGCUGGCGGCGUGCUUAACACAUGCAAGUCGAACGGAAAGGCCCUGCUUUUGUGGGGUGCUCGAGUGGCGAACGGGUGAGUAACACGUGAGUAACCUGCCCUUGACUUUGGGAUAACUUCAGGAAACUGGGGCUAAUACCGGAUAGGAGCUCCUGCUGCAUGGUGGGGGUUGGAAAGUUUCGGCGGUUGGGGAUGGACUCGCGGCUUAUCAGCUUGUUGGUGGGGUAGUGGCUUACCAAGGCUUUGACGGGUAGCCGGCCUGAGAGGGUGACCGGCCACAUUGGGACUGAGAUACGGCCCAGACUCCUACGGGAGGCAGCAGUGGGGAAUAUUGCACAAUGGGCGGAAGCCUGAUGCAGCAACGCCGCGUGCGGGAUGACGGCCUUCGGGUUGUAAACCGCUUUCGCCUGUGACGAAGCGUGAGUGACGGUAAUGGGUAAAGAAGCACCGGCUAACUACGUGCCAGCAGCCGCGGUGAUACGUAGGGUGCGAGCGUUGUCCGGAUUUAUUGGGCGUAAAGGGCUCGUAGGUGGUUGAUCGCGUCGGAAGUGUAAUCUUGGGGCUUAACCCUGAGCGUGCUUUCGAUACGGGUUGACUUGAGGAAGGUAGGGGAGAAUGGAAUUCCUGGUGGAGCGGUGGAAUGCGCAGAUAUCAGGAGGAACACCAGUGGCGAAGGCGGUUCUCUGGGCCUUUCCUGACGCUGAGGAGCGAAAGCGUGGGGAGCGAACAGGCUUAGAUACCCUGGUAGUCCACGCUGUAAACGGUGGGUACUAGGUGUGGGGUCCAUUCCACGGGUUCCGUGCCGUAGCUAACGCUUUAAGUACCCCGCCUGGGGAGUACGGCCGCAAGGCUAAAACUCAAAGGAAUUGACGGGGCCCCGCACAAGCGGCGGAGCAUGCGGAUUAAUUCGAUGCAACGCGUAGAACCUUACCUGGGUUUGACAUGGAUCGGGAGUGCUCAGAGAUGGGUGUGCCUCUUUUGGGGUCGGUUCACAGGUGGUGCAUGGCUGUCGUCAGCUCGUGUCGUGAGAUGUUGGGUUAAGUCCCGCAACGAGCGCAACCCUUGUUCACUGUUGCCAGCACGUUAUGGUGGGGACUCAGUGGAGACCGCCGGGGUCAACUCGGAGGAAGGUGGGGAUGACGUCAAGUCAACAUGCCCCUUAUGUCCAGGGCUUCACGCAUGCUACAAUGGCUGGUACAGAGAGUGGCGAGCCUGUGAGGGUGAGCGAAUCUCGGAAAGCCGGUCUCAGUUCGGAUUGGGGUCUGCAACUCGACCUCAUGAAGUCGGAGUCGCUAGUAAUCGCAGAUCAGCAACGCUGCGGUGAAUACGUUCCCGGG
rnacentral:rRNA from 1 species